AAAAUAAUCCUACCCUUUGUGAAUUUUGUUUGUUUGAAUAAUUUUUUUUUUUAAAAAUUAUUGGAGUCUUUCCCUUUAGAGUUUGCUUUUGAGUUUGUAAAAGAAUUCGAAAACAUCUAAAGGGGAUGGUCAAUAAUUUUUUUGAAAAAGACAUUUUUUAAAAUUAAACUUUUUGUAUUCAUUUGUCUAAAAAUUAUUUUUAUAAUAUAAAAACAACUUUUGACAAUGGAUCUCUUGGUUCUCGCAACGAUGAAGAACGCAGCAAAAUGCGAUAAGUAGUGUGAAUUGCAGAAUACGUGAAUCAUCGAAUCUUUGAACGCAUAUUGCACUUUUUUAGUUUACUAAAAAAGUAUGUCUGUUUGAGUAUCAGUAAAAUAUUCUCAUAAAAAUCAUUGUGUAUUUUUAUGGUUAUGAGUGUUUUACAACGAUACAAGUUGUUUCACUUUAAAUUUUUUUUUAAUAUUGAAAUUUUUCUAAUUUUAAUAAUUAGAAUUGGAUAAAAUUUUCCCGUCAAAAGGAAUAACCUAAACAAUUUUAAACGAUUAAUUUUAGCAAAAUUUUCGUAAAAAAGGAAAAUUUUUAUUAAGAUAACUUGAUCUCAAAUCAGAUAAGAGUACCCGCUGAACUUAGGCAUAUCAAUAAGCGGAGGAAAAGAAACUAACAAGGAUUCCCUUAGUAACGGCGAGUGAAGCGGGAAGAGCUCAAAUUUGAAAUCUUCAAGGUUUUACCUUGACGAAUUGUAGUUUAAAGAAGUGUUUUCUGCUGAAGUUUGGUAAAAGUUCCUUGGAAUAGGACAUCAUAGAGGGUGAGAAUCCCGUAUUUGACCAUUAUUUUCAGCUUUGUGAUACACUUUCAAAGAGUCGGAUUGUUUGGGAAUGCAGUCCAAAAUGGGUGGUAAAUUUCAUCUAAAGCUAAAUAUUGGCGAGAGACCGAUAGCGAACAAGUACCGUGAGGGAAAGAUGAAAAGAACUUUGAAAAGAGAGUUAAACAGUACGUGAAAUUGUCAAAAGGGAAGCGUUUGACACCAGUGUUGUUUUCUCGAAAAUCAAUUAAAAAUGGCUCGAUUUUGUAUUGCUGAGACCUUAAAAGCUCACUGUACAUUUUUCGUGUCUUUUUUAAUGCACUUUUCGUUUAACAAGUCAACAUCAGUUUCUUUUGUUGUAAAAGGGUCAUUGGAAGGUGGCUUUCUUUUCGGAGAAAGUGUUUAUAGCCUUUGGCCUCUGCAAUCGAGAGACUGAGGUCUGCAGCGUAGACUCUUCGGGUUAGAUACAUUUGUGCUAAGUUAUAGCUUUUUAUAGACAACUUGUUGACUAUAAUUAGUCUUGUAGCUUACUCGCUUAUGCUAUUUUACCUAC
rnacentral:misc_RNA from 1 species